GGGGCCGUAGCUCAGCUGGGAGAGCGCUUGACUGGCAGUCAAGAGGUCGGCGGUUCGAUCCCGCUCGGCUCCACCA
rnacentral:tRNA from 1 species